AAUGGCCUUAGUUUUAGUAAUCCUAGAGGCCUUAGAUGCAACUGUAGAAUGCUGAAAAUUAAUGUGAAUGCAAGAAAUAAAAUGUCAACAUAAGUGGCUAGGUGGUUGUGUUUCAACCAUAGUGGCUUCAAUGAGGUAAGGGAUGAUGUAAGUGACCUUGAGCCUAUGAAUACUAGGGGGGGUGCAAUUAAUAGGUUCUACGAAUUUCUUGAUCUGCAUCACUUAUGCAUCUCAAUUUAUCCAUAUGCACACUAGGUUAACAUUUUCAUGAUCAAUCAACAAUAACAAAAGUAUUGGGAGACAAAGAUAUCAGCUUCACUAUAUUGAUUAUGAGACAUAUUGGUCUAGAUCUAGUGUUGAAUUUGUACGUUUUCGAUGGUUAUACUUCUUUGUUUUAUGAUAAAACUGAUGAUGUUUCCUUUAGCCUCUUUGCAAACCUUGGAAGAUUUGUACACGGGAGGUUCCUUGUAGUUGAGGUCAUAUCUUGCUAAUGUUAUUAUAUUUGUUUGAUGACACUUUUUGUAUCUGAAACUUUUAGUUAAUCUUCAAUUUGCUACAAUUUGCUUCUCUUUUAUUUGAGGGAGCAGGUAAUUGCAGGUUUAUGUUAAUCCUGUUGUUAGCAUAUAUGGAAUUUGUUCUUUCCUAUUUAUUGAUUUACCUGGUGAUCAAUGUCCAAAUGUUAAAUAUGAAAGAGAUGGUUAUUUCAUCACUGUUGAUAUUGAGAAGGACAUGCAAGACGGGCGAGUACCCUUUCAAAGUUUACAUAUAAAGGGUUUAACUUUAAGAACUAACCAAUUAUGAAAAAUAAGAUGUCUUACCACCCCUUUUCAUAUGAGCUCAGACUAUAAGGUAUGCCGAAUGACUUGCCAUCUAAAUUCCAAAGACAGUAAGGCUCCAUUUGGAUAAUAAAAUUAGAUGAAAUUGUGGAUUGAUCCGAGAUCAUAACAAUGUAUGUUUGAAUUGUAUGUUGAGUUGAUGCAAGAUCACUUCUAACUUUGUAUCAUAACUCAGUUUUCACUUCAUCUCACAAAUUUAGAUAGCUUUUGGUAAACAAGUUAGAACAGGAUGAAAUAGAACAUAUGAGUUCCAUUUUGUAUUUGAUGUAUAUUAAAAUUAGAACAAAAUAGGCUAUAAGGUAAAAAGAAGUGGUGUAUUUUGAUUCUAGUGAAAAGGGUGAAACAAUAGAGAACAUAAAAUGAUAUCUUUUCCCACAUUAUUUUGCCUAUGUACUUCUUGAUUCCUCGGUUACUUUUCCUUUUGUAUUGAAGAGACCUGAAAAUUAUUUUCCAUAUCAUCAAAAGCAAAACUAAUCAAGGAGAAAAAUCAAGAGAUAUUACUCCAUUUUCACACCCUCCCUAAUUUUCCCUAUUUUCCUAUGUGCUAUGUUGCAACUUGCAAGUAAGGAAGUUCGUUGAAUACCGUAGACAUUUGUGGUACAGCUGAGUUACAAGAUUUUGUCCUUUCACAGGAAGUGCUAUUUUAUUUGGCAACUGGUCAGCAUGGAUAUUAUUAUACAGACGUUCUGCUGACAAUGUCUACGGUAUUCUGAGCAGUUUCGUAUCCUUACAGCUCCCCAUGAUGUUUUCUGAAGAGAAGGGUACAACUUGCAUGCCACUGUCACUACAACUCUGGUGAAUAUUUUGCAUAGCUUCAAGCCCUUGUUGAUUUGAGAAGACUAUGAAACACUUGGAUGAUCAUCUAGUGGACAUUAAUGUAACACUUAGGGAAUCACAAAUCCAAAGCAAAGUGAAGAAGUUCAGAGGAGAGGGCAUGUCACUGCUUAUGAGAAAAGAGAAAAUUAUCUAAGUGGACAUAAGUUGGACAUUAUAAUAAGGAAAAAUAAAUAUGUGUAAUUGUUUCUAAUGAUUAGAAACCAAACAUGGACCUUAUAAAUAACAAUACAAAUUGUUAGAAAGGUUCAGUUACUUCAAAGCAAAGCUUAAUAAUAUGUUAGUCUAUCAUACAUUCUAUUGUCUAAGAAGCUGCUUUUUAUCAUUA